UUUGUCAUUUCACGUGUCCGGCCCCGGUUGGCUGGAGAGUGGAUGGGGGUGAGGGUGCCUGUCUCCCUUCCUCCCGAUCCUCACUCCGCCAAUCCCCUCUCUUCCUCCUGUCGCCCCCAUGGCGCCGCCGCCCCUGCCUCCUCACCUCCCGUGGCCCGCCCUCCCCGUCGCGUCUCUUCUCUCCAUCGCCAGUCGCGGAAGCCGCUGCGCUCCUCUUCCUCCCUAGCUGCACCACGCGGGAGGGCAAGAAGUUGACCCGAGGUCACCCGCCUCCAAUCCGACGUGCGAGGCACCCAGAGGCUCCCUCCAGUCAAAUCCGUCCGCCUCCCACGCCGGCAUCAUCCAGCACGAGUUUACCUCGUCGUCGUUCUCCUCCAAGCGUCCCGUGCGAGACGAGCCGGCCAGAUCCACCGCAUCCAUCCCUGCUCGUCGGCAACAGGUGGGGAUCCGCCUCGUCCAGCCCAACACGGGGAGGGCCGGGACGGGAGCGGCGACGGCGAGGUGUCUCUCGCUCUCACCCGUUCUUCUGCUUGCGCAUCUUAUCCCCGUCCUCACGCUGCCGCCUCUGUCCCUGUCGCCCAUUCUCUAGAGGCGGCGGCUGGCGCUGGCGUCCACGACCUCACCAAAGCAAGGAAGGAAGGAGGAGCAGGCUCCAGCGCCGGGUGCCUAAGAUCGGCACACCUCCUCCCGAUCGACCCAGACCAGCGCCAUGGCAACAAGCUUGCCCCCCUACCCCGACCUUGAACUUGAGCGGCCAAUACCACCAUGACUUGGCGGCAUAGCUGGUGGAACCGGCGUCCAUAAGCGAGCCAUCGUCCAGAUGGCUGCCGCGCUUCCGCUCAGCAGGUACUACUCCCUUUAUCUCAUCUUCUCAUCAGCUAAAUGAACACAUGUGUUUCGUCCGCCUUUUGUUCUCUUGGAUCCAAGAACCAUUCCUUCGUCCCAAAUCCAGAACGAUAUUCCUUUUUUAUCUGGUUUGGGAUUUUAAUUAGGAAGAUUUUUUCUAGGUAGAGGAGUAGAGCCAUUGUUUCCAAGGUUAGUAGUGAGGUGUUGCAGAUUAGAGCACCAUCGGCAGUUUUUUAGCACCAUGGCAAGGCAGAGGUGCUCCGUGUGCCCGGCAUCUUCAAAAGAAUCAUCUCAUGCAGUAUUCCAGAAAUGUAGCAUUAUGUAAAAGUCUGGUUAUGAAAAUCAUAUGAGCAGAGAUACCACACUAAUCAACUUUCUGCAUUAGAUUACUUAGUUGUGAGCUAGAACCUGAAGAAAAGUGAAGCAAGCUAGAUACAUAAAAAUUAGGCACUCCCUGCAACUCCAAUACCAAAUAGGCAGACAGACAUCUUGGCAUUCGACAGUAGGAGACGAUGAGCUUGAGAAGUGAGAUGGUUCUGUUGAAGUAACGGUGCGUUUGGGCGGUCUGGCCGUUGACCAUUGCGUCCAUAUGUGGGGUUGGCUGGUCCUGCACCUCUUCCGGCGGUAGCGAUUGGGCGACAGCUGAAGAUCCUUCUCAAAUUUGAACUCCAUUUUUUUACGAUUCCCUAUUUUUUGCACACUGAUGAUCACAUUUUUGAACUGUAUAAUUGAUUCCCUAUUUUUUGCACACUGAUGAUCACAUUUUUGGACAGCAUAAUUAAUCUUGGUAUGGUUUAUAGCUUCCUGCUACAACUCUUACCAUUGUCCAAUCAAGUUCAUCCAUGUCAAACACUAUCGACUUGAAACAGAGUAGUGUCAAAGAGAAGGUUUGAUUGUACUAUUUAAUCGCUCAUCAAUUUCAUUUUCUACUUUCUUUAGUUGGAAAACUUCAACCUAAAAAAUAAACUGGUGGUCUAUACGAAAUAACACAUCAGUUUUCUACUGAUUUAUGCCUCACUUUUUAUUUGUCUCAACAGAUUAGAGUAAUAAAUUGAUGGUCAUUCUCUACUUUGUAUUUGUAUUUUUUUAUGAGAUUGAUCCAAGAAAGAAUGACAUGUAUGCAAUACUCACUAAAUUGUAGGGUUGUAUAGCAAGGCUUAUAGUCUCGAAUUAUUACUGUAGAUUGUCUUAUUUUAUAAAGUAUUUUGUUUAGUGAAUAUAUAUUCCAAAAUUUCUCACGUACUGUGUCUGUAGAGGAGAAAGGACCUGAUUGCAGGACACUAAAAUAUUAUUGGCUGUCAAAGCUCCGCGGUCGCUUACACAUGUAUAUUAUCCAUGUAGUCUCGGUUAUCUAGGAUCAAUUACAACAAGGCAGUUGGAUAUUUUUUAUAAUGGUGACACAUUUUCUUAAUUUAAUAUACUUCCAUAUCACUAUGUUGAUUUAUUCAUGCUAUUUUGACGAGGAUGGCAUCGAUGCCAGUUCAUGGCUAUGCAAGGCAUCAGUGCUUGAUGAUUCGUCAGAGUGAUGCGUUACUCGUUGGGGACUUAAUUUGCAGCGGAAGCAGAUGCUGUAAACUCUGAAAACUAGAUUAAUUUUGCUCAUAUGACACAAACACAAUGGCAUUUUUUCUGAGGGAGUUGAUCAUGCUUGCCUUUCCCUGAGCUCCAGCUAUUCACGCUACCGCAUAUAAUAUCCAUCGUAGCUAUAUAGAUGUCGCCAUCAUAAUCUGGACUACUGCCUUAAUUUCAAAAGGGUACAAUAUUAUUUUCAGUUUGUAUACCUUUAUGUAGUGUUGUAGCUUGGUUUGUUUGAAAUUUUAGUGUUCAUGUUAACAAUCACUAAAAAUGAUACAAUUGUGGAUGUAGGUUUCUGAAACAAUCACUAAAAAAGAUAAAUAUGCAAGUGAUGAUAGAUUGUUGUUACCAUGUGGAUCUUAAGUUCCACCAUUUCCUAAUUUUGCUCUCCAGUCCGCCUCUAGGUUUCUCGGCAAGGCGACGGUGUGCGAACCAUGUGCGCCUGCCUAGCUGUAUUGCGUCUCGCGGAUGCGGCGGAUGUGGCACAUGAGCAGAUGAAAGAGGAAUAACUGAAGCCCCAAUGCCUCCACACAUUCUUGCUCCCUGACAAUGGGAGUACUAGGUUGCAAACUCCUUUCCCUUCCCUUAUAUUUACAAUAUGAUGAUGACUAUAUGAUGAUAGUGUUGUUAUAAAGGUGAGAUGCCACCACAAUGUUUCAGAGGCUCACAUCUGUCAGUACUCAUUAGAUAGAACUUGUGUUGCAGUUUUUCUUAUGUGCUUCUCUAAAUUCUCUGUUGGCCAUCGUCUAUCUCUCCUGCAUAGCUAGCCCGGUGCCAUGUCAGAAGCUAAACCAAAACUUUUAAGAUGCUUGUGUAGCAAAAUGCGUUUGGAGAUGCUCAUUUAUCUUUCAGUUACUCUGUAUAAAGUGUCAUAUUCUAUUUGGUUUUGGUUACUGGUGAUGUCUAAUUCUCCAUGCUUCUUAACAAUGAUGGCUAUGCCCAACCUGCUCAUAUUAAUCAACAAUAACAGCUCAGUUGUAUCCAGUAUUUCCUAUUCAUUGGUUAUAACAAUUGACUUGUGUGUAGGAUUCGUCCAGUAUAUAUUCUGGGAUAAACAAUGGUUUGGCGAUGCUAUUAGUUCAUGAAAAGUUUGAGGAUUUUUGAUAUUAUUUUAUUGUUAACGAGUCAUGCCAGUAAGCUUUAUGUAUUUGUUCGCCGUGGGGAGCAAUGGGGCAUUGCACACUUACCUAUGUACUCCCUCCGUAAAGAAAUAUAAGAGCAUGUAGAUCACUAAAGUAGUGAUCUAAAUGCUCUUAUAUUUCUUUACAGAGGGUGUAUAUUGCUACCUGGUUAUGUUGGUCUUUCGUAUACAGGCCUUGCUAUCAUUAUGUAUGGUCCUUCUUGCCUAAUGUGUAUUAUGAAUGGUAUUUCAACCUGUGGAAUGUAUUCCUAAUCUUGGUCUAUAGAACUGCCUUUCUGAAUUUGAUGUCUCAGUUGUACUCGAACAAGAGCGCACGGAGGGAGCUCUUCUACGCCACCCCGGCGACAGGAACAAGGAAAAUCCAGUCGAUGGUGCCACCAAUGAACAAGGCACAGAGCAUGAGGUGUUUGCACCAAUUGCUUUCUUCGCACCACGGCCAUGGCUUUGAUCGUCGAUGGACGUCACCAAUCACCUAUUCUAACUCUGGCAAGUACCCGAUGAUAUAUGAUGCCACCGGCUCUUGUGAUGUACCAUGUAAACAACCGUGUGAUCUCCCUCUUCUUUUGUGAACACGGCCUGGCGCGUCUAUCCAUCCUUUUGUACUCAAUAUCUACCUUGUAUGAACAUUGCAUGGAUGGACAUUGCAUCCUUCAAUUUAUCAUGUAUGAACAUUUGCAUCCUUUAUAAUGUGUUUACUAUC